rnacentral:lncRNA from 1 species
CCAUCAGAGGAGUCUGCCUGUCUGCCAUCAGAGGACUCUGUCUGCCUGCCUGCCUGCCUGCCUGCCAUCUGUCUCCCUGCCUGCCUGCCUGCGCCUGCCAUGUCACCAGAGGAGUAGAUCUGUGAAAAAUGAAGAGACCAGGGUUCAAUGUGUUUGUUUAUUUCCAACUUGCUAAAGUCUUCAUUCUGCUGACAGUCUGUAUGGGAUCAUACUGUUGCUACAUGAAGAAAACCUGUCAUCAAGAACAGGGGUUCAUUUGACACAUUGUAGAGUGAAGAGACCUGGGGGAUGUUUUUGGAAAGUGUUGGUGAUGUUUAACAGGACUGUCUCAUGGCAUGGAGACCUACUGUACUGUAAUGCUACACUGGAUGGAGCCCAGUGUUACGGAUUUGUGUGAGGAACUGUCCUUCCCUUAAAGACACGCAAGUAUCACAGGCUUGAUCGCCUCAUUCUGAAGGCUGUGGUCCUUUUAGUUCUGCAUCUGAAAUGUGAGAUGGGGUAAAUCAGUGGUGUGAUGACACACAGGCAACCAGCAUCACUGCUAGGAGGAGACCACCAGCUGACACUGACCCCAAGAUGAGCGCAAUGGUCCUAGUUGACAUGGUGGAGACGACAGCCAUUACAGAAUUACCCACCAAACCAGGACCAAGCAGCGGAGGAGGAAGGAGCAACAGGAGAACAGCUUGAUGGACUCAUGGACAUGGGAACAGAUACUGGACGGAGGGGACCAUGGACUCAGGCUGGGGAGUAUCGCCUCCCGCAGUGGGAGAUUGAAGCGGCGAGAGCGGAGAGGCGAUAUUAUGAGGAGAGAGAGCGCAACAAGCACGAGAGGCAGCCCCAAUCAUUUUUUUGGGGGGGGGGCACACAGGACAGUCGGCGGAGCCGAGGUCGGAACCAGAGCCAGUCGGGUUGACAUUGGAGGUGAGCGAGGGGAACGAGGCAGAGACUGUGAAGGAGUUAAUGGGGAGAUUAAAGGAGAGAGAGAUGAGAGAGCUGCUAGUUUGGUGCAUAAGGCACGGUAUCCGCCCUACGGAGCGUGUCGUUGAAAUGAUGUCACCUGAGGCAGCUCUCCAUACUCGUCCUGAGGUGCGUGCUGGUUGUCUGGUGAGGACUGUGCCUGCGCCCAGAAACAGGCCUCCUGCAUGUCUUCCCAGCCCUGCACGUCCUGUGCCUACGCCCAGAACCAGGCCUCCUGCAUGUCUUCCCAUCCUGGUCAAGCCCGUGCCUCCUCCACGGACCAGUCCUCCAGUGGGUCUCCCUAUCCUGGUCAAGCCCGUGCCUCCUCCACGGACCAGUCCUCCAGUGGGUGUCCCCAUCCUGGUCAAGUCCGUGCCUCCUCCUCGGACCAGUCCUCCAGUGGGUCUCCCCAUCCUGGUUCGUCCUGUGCCUCCUCCAAGGACCAGUCCUCCGGUGGAUCCCUCCACCCUGGUCUCUCCUGUGCCGCCUCCUCAGACCGGGCCUCCAGCUGGUCUCCCCAGCCUGAUGAGUCCAGGGCCUGCGCACAGAGCCAGGCCUCCAUGUCUCCCCAGCCUGGCCGGAGUGGCCGGCCGUGCCGGAUCUGCCGGAGUGGCCCGCCGUGCCGAAUCGACGCCAAGGGUGCAGCAAAGGCCACGUCCCGCACCUGAUCCACCUCCAGGUUAGGUGGGUUGGGGAGGGGGGGUGUAGCACAGUGCCGUCGUUGACGGCAGCCACCCUCCCUUCCCUCCCUUAUUGUUUAAGGGGGGAGACAUUUUUUGGGGGGGAUUUUUUGUUGUUUCGGUGUAGGUGCAUUCGGGGUAUGCACCUUUGAGGGGGGGUACUGUCACGUCCUGACCAGUAGAGGGUGUAGUUGGGUCAGGACGUGGCAGAAGAGAAGUGUGUAGGUUGAUUUGUUUCGUUUAUUUUGGCCGUGUGGCUUCCAAUCAGGCACAGCUGUAGAGGGUUGUUGCUGAUUGGGAGUCACACAUAAGUAGCCUACUUUUCCUUUGGGGUUUGUGGGUAAUUGUUCUUGUUACUGUGUUAAUCGUGACAGGACUGUUUUGGUUGUCUGUUUAUUGUAUU